rnacentral:tRNA from 1 species
AGGUCGCUAGUGUAAUGGUACCACGACGGGCUCCAACCCCGUUAAUCUUCGUUCGAAUCGAAGGCGAUUCU